UUUUUUUCAACAUUCUCUCUUUCCCCUUAUUUCAGGUCAGAAAAGGCCAAGUGAUGGAAAUAGUGGAUUAAUGGCAAAAAAGCAAAAGCGUACCCCAAAGCGAACAAGUGCUGCAGCCAAAAAUGAAAAGAAUGGAACAGAUGAAUUAGAUAAUAUGAACAGUACAGAAAGAAUCUCAUUUCUCCAAGAAAAACUACAGGAAAUCAGAAAAUAUUAUAUGUCUUUGAAGUCUGAAGUUGCAACCAUAGACAGGAGGAGAAAAAGAUUAAAAAAGAAAGACAGGGAAGUGUCUCAUGCGGGAGCCUCCAUGUCAUCUGCUUCAUCAGACACUGGAAUGAGUCCCUCAUCAUCAUCUCCCCCAC
rnacentral:sRNA from 1 species